GUUUGUUUAUUUAUUUAGACAUUUAGACAAGGUCUCAAUAUGAUAGCUUUGGAAUUUACCAUGUAGAACAGGAUGACCUCAGUUUGAACUCACAGAGAUCUGCCUAUUCUGCCUCCCAAGUUCUGGGAUUAAGGCAUGUGCCAUAUUCAAUUCUACCUUUUUUCUCUUUUUCUUGAGACAGGGUCAGUUAGCUUCAGAAUUUCCCGCCUUGGCCUCCUCAUCCGUGGUGGCGUGUCCACCACCACAUCUGGCUUUUUAUGUGGGUUCUGAGGAGUCAAAUGCAAGUCUCCUUCUUGAGUGGCAAGCGCUUGACCCACUGAGCCGUCUUUCCAACCCUCAACAUCAUCUUAUUCUGUCAAGCCCAUGGUAAGGUGAGCCAGUGCUUACUUCCCAAGUACCACCACGCCUGCCUCACAGGCUCAGUUUGUCCCCUACUCUCAGCAGUCACCACCAGUGACUGCAGCCUGAAAGACCCAAGGGAGCCACAGGUCCAACCGCAUCAUUCUGCAUCAGGCCCCACGGAGGACGCAUCCAAGCCUACAUGGCCUCCGUCUCAACCUCCAACAAGUUCCAAAUCACUCCAAGCAGCAAGUGAGCAACAGGAAUAAAGUUUAUCAGGUGUUUGCGAUGGGUUUAGGUGCUUGACAAAGUCACCAGCGUCGGAUUGGAUUCUGAGGCCGAGAGUUUGGCUGACUUGCCCAGUUAAGAGGCCCGCAGCUAGGAGGAGGCUGAGUUGGGAGCCAAAAUCUAGGUCAUCUGGAACCUGAAAGUUGCUAUGCACCAAGCGGAUCUGAAGCUAACUUGCGAGGACAAAUCUUUCCUUCUCUAGGGCCUGGGAAAUGAACGAUGAGAGAAGCAAGCAGAGAGUCAUAGGACGCAACACUGCCCAGUGCCCACACCCACUGCUUUGGGCAUUGUAACCCUGGGUCGUUAAAUCAGAGUCUAUGAAGCUUCCACUCAUAAGAGCUGGUGGGAACCUCCUGAGAAUUUUUUUUUUUUUUGUCUCAAGACUUGUACUUCCCAAGUUCAGAGGCUGUAUGGUUGGACUCCUUGCCUCUCACCCCAGAUGUGUUAGUUUCAUUUUCAACCAUUAAGCAAGGAGGACCCAGUGCUGCAAGGUGCAUGUUCUAGUUUCAGUUCUGAUGCUAGUACUCAAAGCAACUUUGCAGAGGAAAAUAUGUCUUUGACUUACCCUGCCAGGUACAUCAUUGUGGGCAGGAACUCAAGGGAGACCUUGAAACCAAGCCUGUAGAAAGAAUGCUGCCUGCCGGCUCAUUGACAAACUCAUGCUUCGCUAACUUUCUACCACAACCCAGCAUUGACUGACUGUCUGCCCAGGGGGUGGUACUGCUCACAGCGGGCUGGACCUUUCUACAUCAACUAACAAGAAGACAAUACCCUACGGACAUGUGCGCAGGUCUGAUCUGGGCACUCCGCUGAGACUCCCUUCUCAGAUGAUUCUAGACAGGGUCAAGUUAACAGUUAAUGCUAACGAGGACAAUGGUUGCCAGUUUCAGCCACUGGAAUUCUGACUCCCAAGUUCGAGGUCAACUGUGCCCUCUGGUGGACAGGAGCAGAUCUUAGCAUUAGAGGCAAUGGUUCUUCCGUGGGGGGACUUUCUCAUGGAGAUUGUAUGAAUAGUGUAUUAGAGGAUGAUGUUUUUCUUCUUUUCACCCAGGGUGGUGAGACAGAUUCCUAAACCUGUUGUUUUGUGGGGGAGGGGAACACUGGGAAGAAAGACAAAUAUGUGUGUGUGUGUGUGUGUGUGUGUGUGUGUGUGUGUGUUACAGUGAGGAUCCUUAAGGAGGAAUAGAAGCUUCUAGACUUCAGUCCUUUCUAGCAACACCCACAGAUCUCCUGCACCACGCAUGCAUAACCCAUUUGUGAGUGAAAAAUCAAAAAAUCCCAAAAUCUUCAACGAGACCCCAAAACCACACCAGAGGGUCUCCCUGCCAAGCUUCUCAGUGAUGGUGGUCACCUCUGGUCUGUGUUUUGUCUCUCAUUGUUCAGCAGCAACCUGUUACUAAGCAACACUGGUUUUCUAAGGAGCGAAACAACCAUGCUUGUCUGGUAAAACUGCACCUCCAGGCAACUGGGGUCAAAGCUCUCGCGUGCAGCUGGACGAAGAUUUGGUCACCUGAGGUGGGAAGAUCCACCCUAAAUGUGGGUGUUCUCAUCCGUGGGCUGGGGGCCCAGACUGAAGAGAGAGGAGGAGACUGAACAUCAGCAUUCAUCUGUUUCCUGACUGCAGAGGUGACAUCACCAGCUGCCUCCAGCUCCGGAUGGCCUGACUCGCCUGCAUGAAAGGACAGCACCUCUGAAUUACAGAGUUCCCUCUGUGUAACAGCACCGUCUGCUCUGGAACUUGCUUUGUAGACCAGGUUGGUCUUGAACUCACAGAGAUCUGCUUGCCUCUGCCUCCUGAGUGCUGGGAUUACAGGUGGCAUCACUACUGCCCGGCUCCACUAUGUUUUGAUAUGAGCACUGGCCAUAGAAGUGUGCACCUCACGAUGGUCCAUCCAUCUCGGCUAUAGUGAUUUCUUUUUCCAUUGGUUUUGAGUUUUUAAAACAUUGCAUUAGGAUAUCAUUUGUCCAGGGUACUGGGCAUUUCUGAUGCUAUGAUACCCCAUAGACUCUGUGCCUGAGUGUCUCAGUGGCCCGGAGGUGAUGGCUACCCCAGUAUCUCUCCUCUCUUGUCUCCCCAGCUCCCAUUACUACUUCCCAUUGACUGGACCUGAAUGGAACCACAGUGUGGAAGUGUGGGACACAGGAGGGAGCAGACAGACCUGGAAACAGGCUUCCAAAGUCCAUUUCUUUAGCUCUGACUCUUCCCCCAGGUCUACCUUCCACGUUUCCACCUCCCGAGAUUCUCUGUUGGGGAGAAAACUCCCUCAACUGUGUGUCAUCCCUCGGCAGCCAGCAGACGGAAUGUAUGCCCCCUCAUUGUUUCAGAACACCCUCAGCUCUUGAUACUCUCAAAGAUAAUACCUACCCAGAGAGGUGGACACACCCGAAGGUGACCCUUUGUAUAACCCCUCUCUCUUAGGGAAGGGUUUAACUUCUAAUCCAGAGGGGAUGGAUGGAAGUGUCGCAGGACUGCAGGACACUGCGUGAGCCCCUUAGUAGCUGAGGCUCUUAGCCAUGCAGCUGCAAGGUUAGCCUGUCGACAGCCUGAGCAAACUUGGACAUGAGUUUUCCCCAGUCAUAUCUUUGGAUGAAAAGACAAACAGAUUACCGCUAACCUAUUCCGGGAGAGCCUGAGCAGAGACCCGGUGGAGCUCACAGGCACAGACAGUGGAACCCUGGGCUCCCCUCGUUACUGUCAUUUUAUUUUCUCUUAUGUAGACAGGUCGGUCAGGGCGGGGGAUCCCACAGAUUCCUCUGGAAACUGUCAAGAUGCUGGGAAAAUGAAUGCAAAACUGGCUUAGAUUGGGAUGCCCACGGUUUGGAUUUUCAAGGCCUGGGAGAAGAAACGAAACAGAACAAGGGAGACUUUCAGGAUGAGGCUGCUGCGCCAAAGACAGCCGCAGAAGGUCCUGGUUCCCAACCCUGGCUACCGCG